rnacentral:rRNA from 1 species
UACGAAGGUCCCAAGCGUUAUCCGGAUUUAUUGGGUUUAAAGGGUGCGUAGGCGGGCUAUUAAGUCAGUGGUGAAAGCCCCAAGCUUAACUUGGGAACUGCCAUUGAUACUGAUGGCCUUGAGUACAUUUGAGGUGGGCGGAAUGUGUCAUGUAGCAGUGAAAUGCUUAGAUAUGACACAGAACACCGAUUGCGAAGGCAGCUCACUAAACUGUAACUGACGCUGAGGCACGAAAGCGUGGGGAGCAAACAGG